GACAGAGGGUGCAAACGUUGCUCGGAAUUACUGGGCGUAAAGCGCGAGUAGGUGGUUGCCCCAGUCGGAUGUGAAAUCCCACGGCUCAACCGUGGAAGUGCAUUCGAAACUGCAGGGCUAGAGUCCUGGAGAGGAAGGUGGAAUGCUUGGUGUAGAGGUGAAAUUCGUAGAUAUCAAGCGGAACACCGGUGGCGAAGGCGGCCUUCUGGACAGUGACUGACGCUGAGACGCGAAAGCGUGGGGAGCAAACAGG
rnacentral:rRNA from 1 species